rnacentral:misc_RNA from 1 species
CGCACAUUGCGCCUGCUGGUAUUCCGGUAGGCAUGCCUGUUCGAGCGUCAGCAAAACCUCUCAACAAUACUUUAUUGUUGGUUAUGGGCUUAGGAAGGGCUUAAAAUCCCCAUCCUGCCUUAAUUUUGCUGCACGACCGCAAGCUUUUGCUAGGUUAUUGGAGUGGUGUUUACAUUAUAUUCCAGCAAUCCUCUCUUGGCUUUGGCGGCGUUAAACUUGAUAGUUGCCUUACCGCAACCGAUGUUUUGACCUCGAAUCAGACAAGGAUACCCGCUGAACUUAA